UGGGGAAUAUUGGACAAUGGGCGAAAGCCUGAUCCAGCCAUUCCGCGUGUGUGAAGAAGGUCUUCGGAUUGUAAAGCACUUUAAGUUGGGAGGAAGGGCAGUAAAUUAAUACUUUGCUGUUUUGACGUUACCGACAGAAUAAGCACCGGCUAACUCUGUGCCAGCAGCCGCGGUAAUACAGAGGGUGCAAGCGUUAAUCGGAAUUACUGGGCGUAAAGCGCGCGUAGGUGGUUCGUUAAGUUGGAUGUGAAAACCACGGGCUCAACGUGGGAACUGCAUUCAAAACUGACGAGCUAGAGUAUGGUAGAGGGUGGUGGAAUUUCCUGUGUAGCGGUGAAAUGCGUAGAUAUAGGAAGGAACACCAGGGGCGAAGGCGACCACCUGGACUGAUACUGACACUGAGGUGCGAAAGCGUGGGGAGCAAACA
rnacentral:rRNA from 1 species